GACAGAGGUGCCGAGCGUUAGGCGGAAUCACUGGGCUUAAAGCGUGUGUAGGCGGGUCGUUAAGUGUCUUGUGAAAUCCCACCGCUCAACGGGGGAACCGCUGGGCAUACUGGCGAUCUUGAGCAGUCCAGGGGCGAGCGGAACAAGCGGUGGAGCGGUGAAAUGCGUAGAUAUCGCUUGGAACGCCGACGGUGAAAACAGCUCGCUGGGGACUCGCUGACGCUGAGACACGAAAGCCAGGGGAGCGAACGGG
rnacentral:rRNA from 1 species